rnacentral:tRNA from 1 species
GCCCCCGUAGCUCAGGAGGAUAGAGCGGCGGUUUCCUAAACCGUAGGUCGCCCGUUCAAGUCGGGCCGGGGGUA